rnacentral:rRNA from 1 species
GACGAACGCUGGCGGCGUGCUUAACACAUGCAAGUCGAGCGGUAAGGCCCUUUCGGGGGUACACGAGCGGCGAACGGGUGAGUAACACGUGGGUGACCUGCCCUCAGCUCUGGGAUAAGCCUGGGAAACUGGGUCUAAUACUGGAUAUGACUCCACGGUGCAUGUCGUGGGGUGGAAAGCCUUGUGCGGCUGAGGAUGGGCCCGCGGCCUAUCAGCUUGUUGGUGGGGUGAUGGCCUACCAAGGCGACGACGGGUAGCCGGCCUGAGAGGGCGACCGGCCACACUGGGACUGAGACACGGCCCAGACUCCUACGGGAGGCAGCAGUGGGGAAUAUUGGACAAUGGGCGCAAGCCUGAUCCAGCGAUGCCGCGUGUGUGAAGAAGGCCUGCGGGUUGU